rnacentral:lncRNA from 1 species
UACGCCCCUGCCGCUGCCCCGGGGGUGGAUCAGGUGUCCCGCGAGGGUGGGUGAGCAGAUGGAAGGGCGCCCAUCGCGGGGACGCAGGGCGCUGCUCCAGCCCGUGGAGUGAGAGAUCGGUGGGUGAGCAGUGGACCUGACGCGCAGGUGGGAGCCGCGGCCUAGGCGGGUCCGGGGCUGGGAAGGGCCGGCUGCAGCUCCGCCUGAGGUGUUCAGUCAGAAAAAGGUCAGCUGCUGACGGCCCGGCGCCCGCCUCCUGAGGCUUCGCGACGUGGGAGUGCAGUCCAGGGUGACAGCGGGGCCAGGGUGGGUCUGAAGACCACCCGAGCCGGCGCGGGAGGAAGCUUCCCUACGCUAAUGUCAGAGGUCUGGACAGCAGAAUCUAGGAGCAAGUCACCCAGGUCUUUCAUGAUGCUGUACCAGUCUCCUUCUCUCCCAGCUCUAUUUCCAGGAUCCUUUAUGUAUUUCUAGGAGCAGCGGGAAAUGAAUACAUCUCUGGACUUUGCUUUACCAAACCUGAGGUGAUCGUCAAGUUGGAACAAGGAGCAGAGCCAUGGACUGUAAAAGAACCCCCAAACCAGAGUUUCCCAGGCUGUCCCUGCAGAACUUUUUAACUGAAGGAGCUGCCGUGCUCCCCCACCCGCUUCCUGGUGAGGUGGGAGCCAACACGCGGAGGAUCAGUGUCAAGACGAAAGAAAAGGGCGGUGAGUUGGCCUCGUCGUGCGCAAAUCCUGUUCCAAGACCUCCAGCGUCACGUUUUCCUCACCUGUUGCUCAGGAUUCCAGGUGGCAGGAACAACCAGGUGUGAGGAGCAGUUUUGAGUGCUACCUGUGCAAAGCCCUGCCCUAGAGCUGACUUAAGCGUCCUCGAUAGGGAUAAGGUUACGAAAAGUCACAGAGUAAGCAUUAGGAUUAAGGCUCAAGGUGUGGGGAGAAAUCUUCCGGAUGUGUUUUCUAAACCCCAAGGAAACCAUAAGGGGCUAGAGGGACCUGGCUCAGCAAGUUAGGCAUUAACUGAGAGGACAAGGUGUUGACUUUGGAAAACCGGGUCAGCUCAAGUCAGAAAACUGCUUGAGAAAACACUGAUUGUUCCUCAAGAUGUCAUGCCUAGAUAGCUAACACCAGCCUCAUUGAUGCCCUUUAGAGUAAAGGUCGGAGUUCAAAUUCAAGGUGACUGGAGGCCGAGGGCCUUGGGGUGUCUAUUUUCUCACAUUGUUUACCUUCCUGAGAGCAUAAUAAAGACGAUGAGGCGUCGGCAUUCAGGGCUCUUGACCCAUGACGUCUUGAGUCCCCUGGUCCCAUCUUUAAC